UUACUUCUUGACUUCCAAUCUUCAUCUUGCUUCUGUUUUCUAUUGUUUGACCUUAAUCUCCCCUAUCUUUGGUCAACCUUUGUUGAUUGGUACAUUCCAUUUCAUUUAAUGCACUUUAAUUCUUCAUUUCUAAUUUUUCAUCUUCUUCUUCUUCUUUUCUUUUUUGAUCAAUGAGUCAAAGGUUGAUGGUUAGCAUUGAUUAAGGAGGUUUAAUCUUUCUUGAUUCAAAUAUAAUUCAUCUUGAUCAAAUGAUCAAGUGAAUGGCUUUG
rnacentral:lncRNA from 1 species